GAGACGCCUCCGCGCUCAUUACACGACGGCAAGCUGCGGUGGCGGCCACGGCACCUUUGGGCAGUGCAUCAACGUGUGCUUCACUCUUACGCCUUAGUUCUCUCUCUCGUCUUCACGGCUCUCCUCUUUUGGGUCAAUCCUCGCUAUUCGUCGGAGUAGAGGGAGGGCGAGGCCUUGCUACUGAACCUUCCCUGUUGACCCGCUGCCGCUUCUCUCAGGCACCCCGUAAGCACAUACUUCCGCACACUCCCAGAAUCAUAGACGCCCGGCGGUGAUGCAACAAGUUCAGUCCAACAGGUCUAUCCAGCUCUUCUCUUGCCCUUUGGGUCGAACCACCGCACACUGAAUGUUCCGCUGGACCGCUGGCACGAAGGCGCGGGCGGACCUCGCAUCGCGUCAGCACGGCUACCCUGGCGGUCCUGCGCGUCUUCUUCUUGCGCGUCGUCGUCCUCCUCACCCACGGUCCAGCGACACGGCCACGGCGUCCGUCGCUGCAGCUGGCGCCGGCUCUGCUGCUGCCACGGCUUCACAAAGCUCAGCGCGUUCAGGUACUGAGCGGGCCCACAGUUCACCGACAGUUUUGCCACCGGCGCCACUAGCACAAGAUGAUGCGGCCGCUGGCACCGCCGCCGUGCCUGACGGUGCCGCCUUUGGCACAGUUGUAGAGGAAGCUGCUCAGACGAGCGUGUGCCCACCGCCGACGACGACAGACAUCUCCUCUCCGCUGCUAGAUGCCCCCGUGAGUGACGUGGUGGCGGAGGGGGACGGCGAGUGCAGCAACACCCACCAAAGUGUGACUGCAGGCGUUUCUGGCAGCCUGUGCUCUGCGCCUUCCCUGUCACGCCACUACAGCGCAGCGCCUCCUUUACCGUCAUCGCCGCUACCGUCACCCCCUCUUCACGUGGUGGGCAACCACGGCGGCGGCCUAUCAGAGCAUCCUUCCAGCGCGCCAUCGUCGCAUCGUUUCAAAGUGCUACUGGCACGGCGGCAAUCACCACUCCCGCCGCCUCCCCUGCCGUCUUCCUCGCACUCAUCUCCGACUGCCCAUUCAGAAGUGCUUGCCGAGGCUCUUGAGGCAAAGGCGGUAAGGCAAAGAAGGCGCGGGCACACACUAGGACGGUCCUCGCGGCGUCAUCGAGAGUGGAGGCAGCGGCACAAGAGGCAGCGACUUGGUGAGAAUCCGGAUGAUAGCUCACGUGGCACCAAUGCAAUGGCAGAGAGCAGCGAGGAGGAAGCGGCCGACACCUACGCGAAGGUGCAGCAGCAGCAGCAGCGCCAGCGGAAGCGCAUGGAGAAACAAGCAGAAUGGGAGAGUUGGCCGAGCUCUAGCAUCGAUAACUCCUCAGAUCCCUACUUGCAUCGGCGGGACUGGGUAACACAAUGCGGGGAGGAGCAGCGGAGACCCCACUCUCGACCCCGCGUCGCCGAGCAGUCGGUGGAUUGCAUCGCGGUACAGUUGCCGCUGCAGCGGGCAAAGGAAGCGCCUGCGUCCGCGACAAGGCACACCACGGUAAUAUCUCCAUCUAAUGCAACUUCUCAUCCGGGCGCUCCGUCGUCGUCGUCGCUCGCGUACUCGGAGCGGCGAGAGGCGCAAACACGUCUCGCUCACGACGACGGCCAUUCGCUACCCGGCGGUAUGACUAUAGAGGUGGCUGCCGAUACCUUCCGCCGCGACAGCUGCAGCAACACUCUUGCCACAGGCGCGAUAGUGAGUUUCUCAGGCGGCGCCGUGGGCCGUCCUUUGCACACCUUUGAAAGCGCUCCGGGCUGCCGCGAUGGGGAUGUGGGUACCUGCAACAUUGAGGAGGAGAUAUUGCCGUGGCACGUAUCGCCUCUCACUUCGACGGUCGGGUUCCCCAUGAAGUGCCCCGGGCAUGAGGUGACACCCAUAUUUGAGGACCAGCCACUGAAUUGGUACCCACAACCACAGUCUCAAGCUACGCAGCACGUGCUUGAUGAGUAUGUGAGCGCCUCCGGCGGGGUGGUCCGAGUCGAAGGAGACAAUCAGCUCCGAUGCGGGGUCGCGUCGCUGCUUGGGCCUGACUGGGGUGUAGCAGAACCCGCAUCAACACUUGCAGUCACGCCAGGAGGGGGUGGAGAGGUAGAUCUCUGGAUACCCGGCGCCGGGCCUCCUUCUUUCACUCCCUGGAGGCAGCUUGGCGCUGAUUGCGGUACACGCGUUGGCGCGUAUGGCCUGCCAGCUGAUCGAGUGAUGGCGCCUGGCAGAGGUCUGGCCCUUGGCCUUGGCGACACUCGCGCACGUUUCUAUGGCGGCACACCACAGGAGCCGAGCUGGUUGCUUUCGUCAGCUGAUCACGACUGUCACGAUGCCGAGGACGGAUCUGAUUGGCAGUACCGGGUCGGCUGUUGCUCUACGUCGUCGACGCGAUUAAGCACCGCUAGCGCUCUGCCCGGGUCUCGUGGCAUCACAGCAGCUCCGCCUCUUGCUGGUCUGUUCAGUUCACAAGCAGGGCCUCGUACGCCACCGACGACGCCCGCGUUUCCGUGGAUGGGCGCUGGCGAGGGCGAGGGCGGAGCGGGAGUCAGUGGGAGAGGCGGAGACGGUGACUGCAUCUCUCCUGAGAGAGCGCCGUCGUCGUGCCUGCCGCACUACUCCCCCGGGCAUGCUAUGGGAAGCUCUUGCGGCAAUGAUGGCGGGGACGGUCGUGGUCGUCCUUUGUACUCUGCACAGGCGCCGCCGCCGCGAAGGCACCACGGCAGUUAUGCGCCACAGCCGCCGGGUCACUCUCCGCCAUUUUUCGGCUUGCCGCCUUCUUCUAGUGUAGUGAGCGCCUCCAGCAACACCAUGGCUGCUGCUGCUCCUGCACCACACCGUGUGGGUCGAGCAACGCGGCAACGCCGACCUCGCAGUGACGGCGCGCGGCCACCGCGUGCGCUGAACGGCACGACAGAGCGCUGCCGCCGCUUCUGGGAGCGGUGCCGGCAUUCGAACGUGCCCGACUGGUGAAGCGGAUAGCUCUGUUAACGAGAGCAUCGGAUAAGGCAGAGCCGUUGGGAAAGAAGACGGAGGCAAAGAGGGAAGGGAGGGCUGAGUGACGCUCCGUGGGUGACAGCGAAUGCGAAGAAUGGGCGGCUUGUGCGCACGGGAGGCAGCACGGCCUGUGCUGGUGGUGAGGGAAAGGGCAGUGUUGGUCUGGGCGGUUGGGGCUCCACAUACCUCGCACGCGUCUCGCCCUCGUUCCGAGCGUGGCUUCCUUCUCUUUCUGGGCGCUUUCUUUCCCUCUAAAACGGUUUGCGUUUCGCUUCCCCCCUCUUUGCGUGGGCGCGUGUGCGCCAGAGAGUGCCUCUUUCACGGCUUGUGGCGCCCUUCAGUCCUCCCCUCCUCCCCUCCCAGCCGCUUGCGAUCGCCUCACUCCUUGUAGGCUUGCUUUAUAUCGCUGCUACGUUCUCGUUCUCAGAUGCCUCCCUCUCUCUCAGUCCUGAGCCUGCGCUCCCUUUCUGAUCUGCGCUCUUCUCCCCAGCGGCUUUUCUUUUCACACAAAGCGAUGCCUUCUUCUGCGCUUGCGGGCGCCAUCGCCUGCACUCGCGGGGCGCUGAGGGGAGGGGGAGCGCGGCAGCUCGGGACCGAAAGACAAACAGAGCCGACGACACAAACAUGCAACACAUACUCGAAGGAAGCGACACGCAAAGUUGCUUGACCGAGCAUCCUUCUUCGAUGGGUAUGGGCGUGCAGCCAUGCCACACUCACACGUACGCACGCACACC
rnacentral:misc_RNA from 1 species